rnacentral:rRNA from 1 species
UACGUAGGUGGCGAGCGUUGUCCGGAAUUACUGGGUGUAAAGGGCGUGUAGGCGGCACUGUAAGUCAGAUGUGAAAUCUCCCGGCUCAACCGGGAGCGUGCAUCUGAUACUGCAGUACUUGAGUGAUAGAGGGGAAAGCGGAGUUCCUAGUGUAGCGGUAAAAUGCGUAGAUAUUAGGAGGAACACCAGUGGCGAAGGCGGCUUUCUGGCAAUCAUCAGACGCUGAGGUACGAAAGCGUGGGUAGCAAACAGG